rnacentral:rRNA from 1 species
UACGUAGGGUGCGAGCGUUGUCCGGAUUUAUUGGGCGUAAAGAGCUCGUAGGCGGCUCGUCGCGUCGACCGUGAAAACUUGGGGCUUAACCCUAAGCUUGCGGUUGAUACGGGCGGGCUAGAGUUCGGUAGGGGAGACUGGAAUUCCUGGUGUAGCGGUGAAAUGCGCAGAUAUCAGGAGGAACACCGGUGGCGAAGGCGGGUCUCUGGGCCGAUACUGACGCUGAGGAGCGAAAGCGUGGGGAGCGAACAGG